AGCUGUGCAGACCUACAUUUGCUUUGCAUGGGCCAUCGCAACGAGGUGUUCUCUCCAGGGACCACAGGGGUUAUCAAUUUCUGUUUGGUGUCACUGUUUGGACUGGAUAAACAGGAGUUAGCCCAGCAGCGAUAACUGUGUCAAGUCUAUAGCGGCAUGCUAGAGGAACACAUGAGGCUCUUGCAGUCACACGCAAGCUGUGUCCAUCCUCUUUACUGGUGCCAUUUUAUCAGCUACUUGUGACAAAUGGCAGCUGAGGGGACGACUAAGGCCAAUGACGCUGGAUGUAAAAGCAACGUAGCUGAAGUGCAUGAAGAGACUUGGACCUUUUUACUGAGAACACUUCAUCAAGCAAGAUUGCCAAGGUCCAUCGUGGAAGAGUCACAGAGCUAAAAUAGGAGAAAACAUUAGAGUUUUUCUUCCAUGAAUCCCAUGCAAGGUUCCAAGCUUACAUUCUUCUAGAGACCUUUCAGCUGUUCUCGGAGGAUGGGAUGCAGAGCCACCUUACCUAACAGGAAAAGCACUGAACUAUGGAUCAAACUUCAGCGAUUUCAGUGGCCUGUAAUGCCCUCUAAUGGAGGAGUCUGUUGGAGCAGCGCCCUGUGAGAAGCCCUCGAGCAAAGGGACGGAAAGAAUCAAGUGUCCAGAUGGAGGAGCAGCCGCAGCCCUGCCAGAUUUGGACAUCUCUUCCACUACGAUUCCCCAUUGAUCGUGAGUUCACAAAAUAUGUCGUACAGAUGAAUGCUUCUGAAAGUGAGGCAGGGAUUUGGCAACACUGAAUGCUAAGCAUAAACUUUGGAAGCAGCGGAGAAGGAAUUCCUACUUCACCCAGAGGGAUGCUAUCUUGGAUGAGAAGCAGAAUUAGAUUCCCUCCAGGUCUGCAUGUUACAGCAGGACAAAAUAGAAAGUUUGCCGUGUUUGCAUUUGAAAUGUUAUCUUUAAAAGAUGCUUUAUGAUAAUCCUUCUAAACACUGCAUUGCUUAUGCUUCAGACUAGCAUAUAAAAGCAGUUUUCUGGACUUGGGUGGAAAAAAUCUGGACUGGCAGAUAAAGAGUAAAGCAAGUCCACUUUCUUCCCCAGUGCUUCAU